GUGAAGAACGUAGCGAAAUGCGAUACGUAAUGUGAAUUGCAGAAUUCAGUGAAUCAUCGAGUCUUUGAACGCACAUUGCGCCCCCUGGUAUUCCGGGGGGCAUGCCUGUCCGAGCGUCAUUGCUGCCCUCAAGCCCGGCUUGUGUGUUGGGUCUCGUCCCCCUUCCCGGGGGGACGGGCCCGAAAGGCAGCGGCGGCACCGCGUCCGGUCCUCGAGCGUAUGGGGCUUUGUCACCCGCUCUGUAGGCCCGGCCGGCGCUUGCCGAUCAACCAAAACUUUUUUCCAGGUUGACCUCGGAUCAGGUAGGGAUACCCGCUGAACUUAAGCAUAUCAAUAAGCGGAGGA
rnacentral:misc_RNA from 1 species